UACGAAGGGGGCUAGCGUUGUUCGGAAUUACUGGGCGUAAAGCGCGCGCAGGCGGUCCUUUAAGUCAGGGGUGAAAGCCCAGAGCUCAACUCUGGAACUGCCUUUGAAACUAGAGGACUUGGGUACGGGAGAGGUGAGUGGAAUUCCGAGUGUAGAGGUGAAAUUCGUAGAUAUUCGGAAGAACACCAGUGGCGAAGGCGGCUCACUGGCCCGUUACCGACGCUCAUGCACGAAAGCGUGGGGAGCAAACAGG
rnacentral:rRNA from 1 species